CAACCAGACCAAAGAAUUCCACGCCGCGUUCUCCUCCGCGACACGCAACCUCCCCUCCAGAUCUAGUCUAGACGAACACGCCUCCUCCACCACACAAUCGCAACUAUAGCUCCAGAUCGGAAGCAGAGUUCGCGCCAUAAUCCCUUUGUAGUUUACGAAUCGAACUCGAUCCGAUCUCGGUAUUAUGAGCUUCUCGACCGUGAUUUAUGCGCAACCCCCGUGCGUUGUCUCUUCCGCAGGUUCCGGCGACGCGGUGGGCUUCCGGCGAUCUCGAAUCGAGACGCGAGGCGGCUGCUUCCGUGAACGGAAUCGCCAGAUCCGUCCGUCCGGCGAGCCAGAUCCGAUGCUGAUCCGAUAUCUCGCGGCGGAUCUGGGUUGUUUCUGCCGGUCUGGAGUUGGCGUGGCGACGAGGAUGGAGUUUUUACCGGCGUGUUCGUGGGAUCCUGCCUCGUUCGACGACGACGUCUCUUUGUAAUAAUUAUUCGGAUGCGAUUUCGAUGAUUAUCAGAUCUAAGAGAUCGGGGGUGGCUGCAAGGUAAGAACAUGUAACAAGGGAUGUGACACCUAGAGGCCUUUGCCAUGUUGGGUGCGCUCGCAUGGCAGGCCACCACCGUAAUAAAGACGAUUCUUGUGUCUCGGGGGGAGAUCGCACGGGGGUUAUUUUAUUUUAGCCCCGGGUUCUCCCCCUGUGUGUCUGGUGUCCUCUUGCUUCUGCCCGUCAAAAUCGAUCAAUCUUCCUGGCACAAAUUUACCGCCGCGAAUCGAUCAUGGAGCAAUCAUCAAAGACCAAAGGUACAAUCGCUAAUUUACAGCUGAAAUAUACACUAACUAUAUAUCCACUUUCCGUGAUCCUUUAUGUAGUUUGAUGUCAUGUUGAAUUCACCGUUUCUGAAAGUCAACUUAUAAUUUGAAAUCGCAGCACUCUACUUGGAACUAAUCAUUGUGGACAUCCAGUUUACUCCGAGCACAUCACAAAAUUUUCAACAAUACAUAUAUUGUCAAUCAUUGUGGAACCAACUUGCCGUUUAUGGCUUUCAGUCUCGUACAGAGUAUUUGGUUCAUCACUUCAUCUGUCAAUACAUUUCUUGUUUUGUUUCGUCGGUAGUACAUCUCACUUUUAUUCUCCCGUAAUACUCCUGGAGUAUAUGAUAAAGCCUUUUGUUUUGUAAGUUUUUGUACAAUGUUUGACCCUUUAUCUAUUGGGGUCCCUUGAUGUCAUGAUUUCAUUGUUUCUGGAAGUCAGUUGAUUUAUACAUUGAAAUCACAGCACUCUACCUGAGCAAAUAUUGUAAUGAUUUUUUUUUUAAAUUGACACAUACGAAAUCUAUAUGGAGAUCCAAUUUAGUCCCAGCACAUCACAAAUUUUUGAACAAUGUAUAGUCCAAUGAUACCAGCUUGGCAUUGAAGACUUUCAGUCUCCUUCAGUCAAUACACUUGUGAUUUGUUUCAUUGGUGAUACAUCUGUCUUUGGUUGUUUUAUUUACUCGUGGAUGUGUAAAUUUCUGUAUAAUGUUUGACCCUGUAUCUAGCGGGUUCUUGUAUAUUCUGUAGUACUCUAGCUUAACACAAUAUAAUUUUUGUAACCUGCUAAUCCCGCAGCUGUAUCUUACACAUCUGUCUGCCUCUUUGGCCUGUUUUGGAGCUGUUCUUCGAGUUUUCCUUCAACUUGAGAAGUCUCCUUCCAAGAAUCUUUGGGCUGCGAUUAUUUGUCGACUACAGGGUUGUAUGGCCCUUUGCAGAAUUGGCUCUAUGCUUACUGAAACUUUUUCAGAUGUACUACUAACUCAAUUCAUAUUCGCUAUUCCGUACCAUGCAAUUUAUAUUAUGUGCUAUUUCAUACUCA